GCCUAAGGCCCCGGCCCAAUAAAAGGCCCCGCCCCAAAAGCCUGAACCACGCCGCUGUGGAGUGGGGACAAGGGAUUUGGGAUACGUUUACGGCUGGGAUGAGGUGAGGAAUAGCUGAGAGCUGAGGAAUAGCUGUCAAGUGAUCACACCUCCAUUGCCUACGAUUUUUGGGUUUUGAGAAGCGGAGGGGCAGAUUUGAGUUUGGACUUGAGUUUUAUCGCUGUUUGUUGUCCGUUCUGGGUCUAUUGUUGCCAAAACCGUAUCAAAAUACUAUCUUUUUGAACAGAUUUACCUGGUUUCCUGUUGAUAAUUUGCAAUUUAUACAAGAAAAAUUGCAGGGGGGAAAUGGUUUUUUUUUAGUGUUUUUUUCCGUCACUUUCUCAUUUAUAGCUUGCAUUUAAAUGUAAAAAUGGUGGAAAAACAGAAAUCGGGCUUGAAGCUCUCGCCUUACCAACGAGCCGACUGCUAAUGGCUGUUGGUCACGACUACUACAAAAAAGUGAAGAUGAAUCUUCUAGAGCUCUUUUUAGCUGUUCAGGUGGGUUUCGCCUUCUUUUUUUUUUCAGCUGGUUACUGAACUCAUCAUGGAGCCCCAGUUUAGAUUCCGAUGGUUCUUUCCGGUUGCUCUCGAUGCGAGCAUUCUAAAGGCUGGUCAUACAUUUGGGGUUUUUCAAUCUUUUGUUUAACCAAUUGCAAAAAUCAGACAUUUUCUAGAUUCCAAAUGGAUUUUGAGCAUCAGCGAGAUGGCACUGUUUUUACUUCUUUGAUUGUCAGAUGACCUCAUUCUAUGAUUUUUGAGUCUUUCCCAUUUGGUAGUCCCCUGUCACAAGUCCAACAAAUUUGAUCUGACACCUAUUCACCCACUAUAUGCAACUAUAUGUCUUUAGGUUGUGUAUGUCUUGUAACAACAUAUGAAUAUGAAUCUUGUAACUGCAUACAACAAUAUAUUUUUUGAUUUGCCUGUCUAUGCU